rnacentral:rRNA from 1 species
GACGAACGCUGGCGGCGUGCCUAAUACAUGCAAGUCGAACGCAGUGGGGACGGGUGAGUAACACGUGGGUAACCUCCCAUCAGAGGGGAUAACACUUGGAAACAGGUGCUAAACCGAUACUGAUGGAUGGACCUGCGGUUCAUUAGCUAGUGGGUGAGGUAACGGCUCACCAAGGCCACCAUGCAUAGCCGACCGGGAGGGUUGUCGGGCCACACGGGAACUGGGACACGGCCCAGACUCCUACGGGAGGCAGCAGUAGGGAAUCUUCGGCAAUGGACGAAAGUCGGACAGAGAAAGGCCGCGUGAGUGAAGAAGGUUUUCGGAUCGUAAAACUCUGUUGUUAGAGAAGCGGUAUCUAACCAGAAAGCCACGGCUAACUACGUGCCAGCAGCCGCGGUAAUAC